rnacentral:rRNA from 1 species
UUACCUACGGGACGCAGCAGUGGGGAAUAUUUGGCAAUGGGCGCAAGCCUGACCCAGCAACGCCGCGUGAAGGAAGAAGGCUUUCGGGUUGUAAACUUCUUUUAUGAGGGACGAAAGAAAUGACGGUACCUCAUGAAUAAGCCACGGCUAACUACGUGCCAGCAGCCGCGGCUAUACGUAGGUGGCAAGCGUUAUCCGGAUUUACUGGGCGUAAAGUGCGUGUAGGCGGGACUGCAAGUCAGAUGUGAAACUUAUGGGCUCAACCCAUAACAUGCAUUUGAACCUG